rnacentral:piRNA from 1 species
UCCCAAGAGAGUUGUAAACAGGAGAU